AUUGCCUGGCAUUUAUUGAGUGAUUACCAUGUGCUAGGUGCUGUGCUAAACAAAAACAUACGUUAUCUACCUUAAUCUUCAACAUCUCCUUGAGAUAAGCACUUCUGUGCUCCUCCGCCCCCAUUUCACAGAUGAAGAAGGCCGUCACCGAUGGGUUGUAUAUACUACUGAAAUGAAUGGCAAAAACACAUUCUGGGAUGUGGAUGGAAGCAUGGUGCCUCCUGAAUGGCAUCGUUGGCUUCACAGUAUGACUGAUGAUCCUCCAACAACAAAACCACUUACUGCUCGUAAAUUCAUUUGGACGAACCAUAAAUUCAACGUGACUGGCACCCCAGAACAAUAUGUACCUUAUUCUACCACUAGAAAGAAGAUUCAGGAGUGGAUCCCACCUUCAACACCUUACAAGUAAAGACAAUGAAGAACAGUUGAAACAUGCAAAAUAUGGAGCUUUUCAUGUAAUUACUCUUUUACUGUUUACCAUUCACUAUAAUUCACAAUUAAAAUUGUGUGACUAAAC
rnacentral:lncRNA from 10 species